GCGACAGCUCGUCUCAGCCUCUCAGGGUCGGGGACAUGAGGUGGAGGACAGGAGUAUGGAUGCCGAGAGAUUAUUAGGUCUAGGUAUUUACUAUAUCCUUUUCAUUUUAAGAUUUAACAAUAUUCAAAAUUUCAACUCUAUAUACCAGAACAGAAAAAUACAGAAAUAGGUAUAUGCGGCUUUGAUAAGGAUCCAAUUAUAAUCUUUUAAAACUUUUUUUACAGAAUUGUCCCUGUCAUCCGAGAGAGGGAUGACUCGCUAGAGCAGCGACAGCCACCUACCACGCAAUGGAAGGGAGACAAACUCUCCUCCGAUGUAACCUUAGUUUUAAAUUAUAACUUAAUUUUUAAAUGCAUAAUUUAAUGUACCAUCUGUUGAUGAUCGAUAUCUUUCUUUUUACAUAAACGUGUAUGUCGUCCGAGAG
rnacentral:lncRNA from 1 species